rnacentral:misc_RNA from 1 species
GACGGAGGGAGCAAGCGUUGCUCGGAAUAAUUGGGCGUAAAGGGUGCGUAGGCGGUUUUUUAAGUCAGAUUGUUAAAAACUAGGACUCAAUCUUAGAUAAUGCAUUUGAUACUGAAAAACUUGAGUGUGGAAGAGGAAAUAGGAAUUCCUCAUGUAGAGGUGAAAUUCGUAGAUAUGAGGAGGAACACCAAAGGCGAAGGCAAGUUUCUGGGACACCACUGACGCUGAGGCACGAAAGCGUGGGGAGCAAACAGG